rnacentral:rRNA from 1 species
AUGGGAGUGACUUUCUACACCGAAACAUGUGGGGGUGUGGGCUUUCGCGAUAUGGCGAUCUUUAACUAAGCUUUGCUCGGGAAACAAUGCUAGAGACUAUUGACUAAACCUAAUUCAUUGUGUGCCCAAGUGUUGAAGGGACGCUACUUCCCUUAUGGGGAUUUCUGGAAUGCGCAAUGUCUAAGAUCAUCUUCUUAUACAUGGCGCAGUAUGAUGCAUGGCAAGGAACUACUGUAG